rnacentral:lncRNA from 1 species
UUCAUGGCUGAAGCUUCUCCUCAUCCUCACCUUCUUAAUUCUGGCAGUCCUACACCAUCUCUUUCUUCUACUACUGCUGGUGUCAGUCCUACUUCCCCUCCCAGUCCUCUUCAUACUCCUGCUGAUAUCAGCUCUCCACAUACGCCUAUUCCCUCCACUUCUUCUUCUCCUGGCCUAAUUCUCUCUGAUAUUGCUGAAUGC